GGAAAGGCGCGCGAUACAGGGUGACAGCCCCGUACACAAAAAUGCACAUGCUGUGAGCUCGAUGAGUAGGGCGGGACACGUGGUAUCCUGUCUGAAUAUGGGGGGACCAUCCUCCAAGGCUAAAUACUCCUGACUGACCGAUAGUGAACCAGUACCGUGAGGGAAAGGCGAAAAGAACCCCGGCGAGGGGAGUGAAAAAGAACCUGAAACCGUGUACGUACAAGCAGUGGGAGCACGCUUAGGCGUGUGACUGCGUACCUUUUGUAUAAUGGGUCAGCGACUUAUAUUCUGUAGCAAGGUUAACCGAAUAGGGGAGCCGAAGGGAAACCGAGUCUUAACUGGGCGUUAAGUUGCAGGGUAUAGACCCGAAACCCGGUGAUCUAGCCAUGGGCAGGUUGAAGGUUGGGUAACACUAACUGGAGGACCGAACCGACUAAUGUUGAAAAAUUAGCGGAUGACUUGUGGCUGGGGGUGAAAGGCCAAUCAAACCGGGAGAUAGCUGGUUCUCCCCGAAAGCUAUUUAGGUAGCGCCUCGUGAAUUCAUCUCCGGGGGUAGAGCACUGUUUCGGCAAGGGGGUCAUCCCGACUUACCAACCCGAUGCAAACUGCGAAUACCGGAGAAUGUUAUCACGGGAGACACACGGCGGGUGCUAACGUCCGUCGUGAAGAGGGAAACAACCCAGACCGCCAGCUAAGGUCCCAAAGUCAUGGUUAAGUGGGAAACGAUGUGGGAAGGCCCAGACAGCCAGGAUGUUGGCUUAGAAGCAGCCAUCAUUUAAAGAAAGCGUAAUAGCUCACUGGUCGAGUCGGCCUGCGCGGAAGAUGUAACGGGGCUAAACCAUGCACCGAAGCUGCGGCAGCGACACUAUGUGUUGUUGGGUAGGGGAGCGUUCUGUAAGCCUG
rnacentral:rRNA from 1 species